GGCGACAUGAUGUAGUGGUUAUCAUGCCUUCUUCACAUAUUGAAAUGUGGAUACGGAGGCUGUCGUGAGUUCGAUCCUCACUGUUGUCA